rnacentral:rRNA from 1 species
AAUGAACGCUGGCGGCGUGCCUAAUACAUGCAAGUCGAGCGAACAGACGAGGAGCUUGCUCCUCUGACGUUAGCGGCGGACGGGUGAGUAACACGUGGAUAACCUACCUAUAAGACUGGGAUAACUUCGGGAAACCGGAGCUAAUACCGGAUAAUAUAUUGAACCGCAUGGUUCAAUAGUGAAAGACGGUUUUGCUGUCACUUAUAGAUGGAUCCGCGCCGCAUUAGCUAGUUGGUAAGGUAACGGCUUACCAAGGCAACGAUGCGUAGCCGACCUGAGAGGGUGAUCGGCCACACUGGAACUGAGACACGGUCCAGACUCCUACGGGAGGCAGCAGUAGGGAAUCUUCCGCAAUGGGCGAAAGCCUGACGGAGCAACGCCGCGUGAGUGAUGAAGGUCUUCGGAUCGUAAAACUCUGUUAUUAGGGAAGAACAAAUGUGUAAGUAACUAUGCACGUCUUGACGGUACCUAAUCAGAAAGCCACGGCUAACUACGUG